rnacentral:rRNA from 1 species
UACGUAGGUGGCAAGCGUUGUCCGGAUUUACUGGGCGUAAAGAGCGCGCAGGCGGUCGUUCAAGUCGCGUGUGAAAGCCCCCGGCUCAACCCUCGGAUGCCGGUGGAUACUGUCGGGCUUGAGUACGGAAGAGGCGAGUGGAAUUCCUGGUGUAGCGGUGAAAUGCGUAGAUAUUGGGAGGAACACCAGUGGCGAAGGCGGCUCACUGGACCGGUACUGACGCUGAUGCGCGAAAGCGUGGGGAGCAAACAGG